rnacentral:rRNA from 2 species
UUCCCGCUGACGAGCGGCGGACGGGUGAGUAAUGCUUAGGAAUCUGCCCAGUAGUGGGGGAUAGCCCGGGGAAACCCGGAUUAAUACCGCAUACGUCCUACGGGAGAAAGCAGGGGAUCUUCGGACCUUGCGCUAUUGGAUGAGCCUAAGUCGGAUUAGCUAGUUGGUGGGGUAAAGGCCUACCAAGGCGACGAUCCGUAGCUGGUCUGAGAGGAUGAUCAGCCACAUCGGGACUGAGACACGGCCCGAACUCCUACGGGAGGCAGCAGUGGGGAAUAUUGGACAAUGGGGGCAACCCUGAUCCAGCCAUGCCGCGUGUGUGAAGAAGGCUUUCGGGUUGUAAAGCACUUUCAGUAGGGAGGAAAACCUUAUGGCUAAUACCCAUGAGGCUUGACGUUACCUACAGAAGAAGCACCGGCUAACUCCGUGCC